rnacentral:tRNA from 1 species
UGCGGGGUCGUCUAACGGUAGUGACGCCAGACUCUGAAUCUGGUAAUGAAGGUUCGAUUCCUUCCCCCGCAG